rnacentral:rRNA from 1 species
AUGUCAGUGUUGCACGCCUUGACCAUGGGCCUAAAGACGGCCCGACACAAGAGCCAGAGCUUCCCCUCCUUGUCGGCCAUUGAGAAACUGUACGACGACAACUUCAGGAACCAGCCGGUGCAGCCAGAAGGGGGGAAGCUCAGGUUGGUCAUCGAUUUGAUUGAGACCGAGCUGCUCCACCUCUUCAAGCUCGAAGGGGCCGCGUUCCUCGAGGAGAUACGCAGAGUCUUCAAGUUUGAAACUCCCGAGAUUCAUGACAGGGACAAGUUUGCUUGGUUCAGAGACGAGGAAUUCGCGCGACAAACCAUCGCAGAGUUAUAA